GAUGAAGAACGUAGCGAAAUGCGAUAAGUAAUGUGAAUUGCAGAAUUCAGUGAAUCAUCGAAUAUUUGAACGCACCUUGCGCCCUUUGGCCAUUCCGAAGGGCAUGCCUGUUUGAGUAUCAUGAACACCUCAACUCUUUAUGGUUUUCCAUGAUGAGCUUGGACUCUGGGGGUUUUGCUGGCUCACAGUCGGCUCCUCUAAAAUGAAUCAGCUUACCAGUGUUUGGUGGGUAUCAUGGGUGUGAUAACUAUCUACGCUUGUGGUUUUUCCACCAGGUAACCUUCAGCAGUGGAGGUUCGCUGGAGCUCAUAGAUGUCUCUCCUCAGUGAGGACAGCCCUUUGAAUGUUUGAUCUCAAAUCAGGUAGGACUACCCGCUGAACUUAAGCAUAUCAAUAAGCGGAGGA
rnacentral:misc_RNA from 1 species